rnacentral:lncRNA from 1 species
GGAUCUCAAGCUUAUCCUCAGAUAAUUAACGUGUGUGCUGAAACAUGGACGGAAAUCUGGUUACUGAGCAGUUGGCAGCCAUGGGUGGAGAGGAAGACAUACUUGUCAGAAUAAAAGAAUGAACAGGAGGCAGUUCGGCACCAAUCUCUGUGAGACCCUAGUCUCUCCAGGAACUUCUGCUAGAUGCCAGUGUACAAAGAUGGCUACGUGAGACCCAGGAUCAACUGAGUGAUGGACAUUUAAA